rnacentral:lncRNA from 1 species
CAUAACAAAACCCCACUUUGUAGUGAGGUUGAGGGAAAAAACAAUGAGGUCUCUAAUGGCCUCCGCAACAGUCACUCUUGUGUUAGCAAUACUGUCUCUAAGCUUGCCAUCUCAAAUCUCAGCUGAUACCUACUUGUACUCAUCACCUCCUCCUCCCAAGAAGCCCUAUUAUUAUCACUCUCCUCCACCACCUUCACCUCCUCCACCUAAGCCAUACUACUAUCAUUCACCACCACCACCUUCACCUCCUCCACCCAAGCCAUACUACUAUCACUCACCACCACCACCUUCACCUCCUCCACCUAAACCAUACUACUAUCACUCACCACCACCACCUUCACCUCCUCCACCUAAACCAUACUACUAUCACUCACCACCACCACCUUCACCUCCUCCACCUAAACCAUACUACUAUCACUCACCACCACCACCUUCACCUCCUCCACCUAAGUCAUAUUACUAUCACUCACCACCACCACCACCCAAAAAGAAGCCAUACUACUACCAUUCUCCCCCACCACCUUCACCACCUCCUCCUAAGCCAUACUACUAUCACUCUCCCCCACCGCCUUCACCUCCUCCACCUACGCCAUACUACUAUCAUUCUCCCCCACCACCCUCACCACCUCCACCUAAGCCAUACUACUACCAUUCACCACCACCCCCACCGAAGAAGAAGCCUUACUACUACCACUCUCCACCACCACCUUCACCUCCUCCUCCAAAGAAGCCAUACUACUACCACUCCCCACCUCCUCCCAAGAAGCCCUACAAAUAUUCAUCUCCCCCACCUCCAGUGCACCCUUACCCUCAUCCUCACCCCCAUCCCCAUCCACACCCCCACCCUCACCCUCCCUACGUUUACAAAUCUCCUCCCCCACCCCCUAAGAAGCCAUACAAGUACCCAUCCCCACCACCUCCAGUCCACGUUUACCCUCACCCUCACCCGCAUCCACACCCUCACCCUCAACCUCACCCCCAUCCACAACCCCACCCUCCCUACAUUUAUCAGUCUCCUCCACCACCCCCUAAGAAGCCUUACAAGUACCCAUCGCCUCCACCUCCCGUCCACCCAUACCCCCAUCCCCACCCUCUUCCUCAUCCCCACCCUCACCCUCUUCCACAUCCCCACCCUCUUCCCCAUCCUCACCCUCUUCCUCAUCCCCACCCUCUUCCCCAUCCUCACCCCCUCCCUCCUUACACUCCUCAUCCAAUCUAUCACUCUCCAUCACCACCACCACCUUACAAGAAGCCUUACAAGUACAAGUCCCCUCCACCACCUCCACACUACAUCUACGCAUCACCUCCACCUCCUUACCACUCUUAGACAGUGGUCAACUAGCAUAGUUCUAUGGUAACCUUCUUCAUACCUACGUACAUGCUACAUUAUUAUAAUUUCUCAUUAAUGGUUCCGCAUUUUUUUACAUCUAUACUUGUUCCCAAAAAAUGAAUACCAAACCCUCGUGAUCCCUGUCAAGGUUUUUAACUUGAUACGGAAAAUGAUUUUUCUGGUUUGGUUUUAUAGGGACCACGUACCCCUCACUGAAAUUGACAGACACUAUAAUAAUAUGUGCAUGUGUUCUAAUGUUUUGUAGGAUGUGAAGAAUAUAUGCGACAAAUAAAGAAAGAGAUGGAAAGAAGGGCACGAAAGAGAAAAAUGGAAGCAAAGUUUCCGCGUUUUGUCUUUCAUAAAAAAACUUUAAAUUAUUUUCUAUCAUAGGGUUCGUUUCUGCUAUUUUUCUUUGUUUAUGAAUUUGGGUGUAUUUUAACAGUUGUAAAGCACUGCGCUCUGCUGCAUCAUCUGUCGUAACAGUACAACCUAGCAUGCUCUGUAGUUUUCAACCAUCUGCGUUUGCAGGGGUCGUAAAACUAUUCAUAUAUAAUUAAAUAAAUUAUAUUCUCUUCUCGCAAUAUCUUACCUUAUUUAGCUGAAAUUAUUCAUCAAUUUUUUGGUUCAUCUUAUUUUAAUUUUGUUAUGUUUGAUGUUGUCUACGUCAAAGUUAUGUGCAUUACAGCAAGUAACUUUUCAUUGAAUUGUCUGGUGUGACACAGAAUUCCGACAGAGAAAGUCACACUCAGGCUCCCUCCUCCGUACACACACUCCAUUACCAUAAUAUUAUUACUUACCAAUGUACUCUUUAACUUAUAAUUCAUCUCCAAAGAGUGAAAGUAAGAAUUUAUGUUGAAAUAUUUUCACAAAAUUAAUUUGUAUUAGUUAUAAUAUAAUAUUUUAUAUAUUUAAAAAUUGUUAUUUUUUUUAUGAAAGUGAGUGAUUUGGCACGUGGUUAUAGCGUGGUGCAUGGAUGGCAAAGUUAGAGCAUGUUGUGAGCCAAUCCAACUUGAAGGCAUUUGUUGAGAAUAUUUUCCCAAUGUUCAUGACACGGGAAGCUUGAUAGAAACAAACGUGGGUUAGUCUUUGUAGCUUUUGAAAAAAGUAAGUGUUUAAAAUGGAGAGGUACGGUCGUUUUGCAAAGAAAUACUGACAAAUUUACUGAACCGGAAUUAUAACCCAAAAAAAUUAGGGGCUGAAUUGAAAUCUAAACACUAAAUUUAUCUCCAUAAUCUCAUUAAAUGUUUAUCUAAGCAUUAGUGAACUUUCAAAUGGAACUUAAUUGUUUAUUAAAAGGUUUUAUUUAUAAAAACAAUUUUUUAACUAACUUUCAAUUGAAAAUCUAAUAAACAGUUGACAAGUCAUGUUAUAAGUCAUUUAGAGAGUGGAAAAUGUUAAAUUGAAGUAAUAAAUGGUUUCAUCAGACAGUUUUGAACUACAAGACAAUUUAAUAUCUUUAAACGGUCUAAUGUCUCUAGACGGUUUAGGAAGCUUCGAACAUAAAUUUUACUAAACUAAAUUUUUAUAAAUUUUCACUUUUGUUUAGCACAAAUCUUCUUAGUGAUAAAACACUCACUUUCUUUAAGUUCAUUAGAGACUUAAUCACCUAUAAGAUGGAUUAGAUUGAAGCAAUGGAGAUUUUGAUCAUAUUAGAGAGACUAUGAUUCGUUUAGAUCUUCGUCAUCUUCACAGAUCCUCGAACAAUCUUUUCUCUCACAAAAUCCAGUUUCACAUCAAUGUGUUUUGUUCUUUCAUGGUAGACUCAAUUAUUUGAAAGUUGUAUCACACUACUAUUGUCAAAGUAGACUAUUAUAACUUGGUCCUUCAUUUUCAACUCCUUGGCUAGACCCUUAAGCCACAAGACUUCUUUCACAGCUUAUGUCAUGACAAUAUAAUUUGUCUUAGUGAUUGACAAAGUCAUUACCUUAUAGAGACUAGCUUUCCAACUAGAGUAAUAUCAUAAGCAUUAAACUCAUAGCUAGUGAAAGAUAUUUUAGUUUCCAAACGCCCAUCAAUGUCUAACUCAACAAACCCUUCUAAAGGAACUUCUUCGAUAGAUCAUCUAGAUCCACCAUAAACUGAAACUCUUAUAAGUAAUCCUUUCAAGUAAAAAAGGAUUCACUUAAGAGAUCAUCAAUAUGCUAUUCCAGGGUUAGACAUAAACAUGCUUACAACACUCUCAACAUAAGCUAUGUUAGGACAUGUGUUAUCAUAACAUACAUCACAGUACCAACGAGGCUAACUUAUGGAAGACCAUCCAUAUAACAUUGUUCUUCCACGGUCUCAGGACAUUGUUCAUCUCACUCAAUUUGUAAUGGGAAGCAUGAGGUGUGUAGAUAGGUUUUAAGUUUUUCAUGUCAAACUUAUUAAGAAUUUUUCUCAAUGUCAGCCUUCUUAACAUCGCUACUAUCCAUCGGCUUACAUUCAUAAACUUCUCGCUUGUAAGCCAUUUUAGUUUCGUCAAAGACAACAUGUCUACUAAUGAUACAAUAUCUCUUCACUCCUUUUGGAUACCCAAGAAACAUGCGUUUUACAACAUGACCAUCCAAUUUAUCUUGCCUAAUAUGAGCAUAGGCAACACCACAAAAAAUUCUCAGAUGAUCAAGGUUGGGAGGUUGUCCUGACUAGACUUCCUCAAGGGUUUUCAUUUCCAAUGCAAUUGAAGGACAUUUUUUUAUUAGAUAUGCAACAGUGGUAAUAACAUCAACCCAAAAAUUAUUUGCAACUUUAGCACUCAAUGUCAUGUACCUCGCUCAUACCAGAUGAUGAACAUAAUUUUAUUUACACUUAUUAACUUUAAUUAUAAAUUAUUGCAAUGAAAUAAUAUAUAAAUCCAUUAUUUAAAUUAAUGUUCAUCUAAUUGGGUUUAUUUGGGCCUUAAUUAUUAUUUCUGUUAAUUUUGUAUUUUUAACAUAAGUUACUUCUUUUGGAUCAAAACAUGAAACAAAAUCUGAAAUAAAGAAUUAGAGAAUUAAAUAUGCAAAUAUAUGAGAAAAGGAAUUGAAUGCAAAUUCUUACCGGGAUAUUCUCUAAAAAUUAUGCAAUUAAAAUUUCUCUACAAAAUCCUUCAAAAAUAGAGAAAAUAUACUUUGAAGAUAUUAUUCAAGAAAAUCUUCUGCAAUGUCUCUCACAUCAAUGUUGGAAUCAAUUACAAUCAAUGCACAAAUCUGAUGAAAUUUGGAAACAAUAUUUCUGGAAGAGAAGCAAGAAUAAAAUUGGAAACUAUUUGGGAAUGAAGAUAUAUGUUUAAUAAUUUGAAACAGGAAAUGAAACAUUUGAUAAUUGUAAAACAAUAUGAUAAGGCAGAUUUUAAUCCGAUUUUGUGCAAGGAAAAGAAGAUUAUAAAAGAGACUUCAGAGGAAGGAAGAGAGAGCUUUUUGGAUCAUGUUUUAGAGGAGAAAACACGUUCUAGACCUAGUUUUCUUUUCUUCUUUGUAAUUUUUUUUGUUUUGUUUCCGCAUGGAAGGAUAAACCUUUUUGGUUGAUUUCUUUGCAAUUCCCCAUUGAAUUCCGAGGUUUUGAUCAAUAAAAGUUUCGAUUUUUAAUUCCUUAUAGCAUAUAUUUUAAUAUUCUAAUCUCCUGGAAAAUUGGUUUUUGUGAGAGGUUGUACUUGAAUGCAUGAUUGAGAGUUUUACUUAUCUUAAACUUUGGUUUCUUAGUUAGUUCACAUUGUUCUAAUUAAUUUCUUGGGCACAUGAUUCAAGAGAGAGGAGAUAAGCAUUCCCAUGGAGUAUACACAUGGAACAAAGUGGGUAUUGAUUAAACCAAUAGACGCAUGUUUUACUUGUGAACUUCACUUGAAUAAGAUUGACGCGUGUUCAAUUUGGUUUAGCUCCGUUGGAGGAUUGAGAAAAGAAUAAUUUUUAGAGAACUUGUGAAGAAUUCAAUGGUGGGAGAACUUGGGGAUCAACUGCUUUUUAAUUGCUAUUUUAAUCUCUUUUAUAUUUUCUGCACAACUAUCUCAACCCCCUUCUCUUUAUUGUUAUUGCUAACUUUUAUUGCUUGCGUAUAGAUUCUAAACACUGAUAUACUAAUUUCACUAUUGGAUUCGUUGGGAGACGACUUGGGGUCAUCUGACCACAAUUAUACUAUCAUCUCUCUAGCGUUAGGUCUAUGUUGGAAUCAUAUUUAAUUUGACUGCUAAACGACAACUAUCACCAGAAUAGUCCUAUUGAAUCUCUUUACUUGGCCAUUUUGUUGAGGAGUCCAUGCAAUCGUCUGGUGCCUUGCUAUGCCAUGCUCUUUGCAGAAGGUGUUCAAUAGUUCGAGACAGAACAAAAGACCAUUAUCGAUUCUUAGUCGCUUGAUUGUAUUACCAUUAUGAUUUUUUACUAGACUCUUCCAACCUUUAAAGUUCUCAACUGCUUCGUCUUCUUAGGAUAAACUCAUAAUGUACUUAAAUUAUCAUCAACAGUUGACAAUAAGUAUCUGACUUCAGAGUGUGAUGGAAUAAGAGAUGGACCUCAUAGAUCAACAUGAACAUAAUCAAAGGUCCCCUUUAUCCUCUACUGACUCAUUCUGAAAUGAAUUUUAUAGACUUUCCCCUAGACGUAAUGUUCACAUAAUGCCAACUAGUCAAUUUUAUCAGUCCCAAACAAGCCUUGUUUGUCCAACUCCAUUAAGCCUUUCUCGCUUACAUGACCCAACCUUUUGUGUCAUACACUACUAGAAAAUUAUUAAAUAAAAACCAAUUUUAGAGACAAAAAAUAAUUAGUUACUAUAUUGACUAAAUUAUAUAUUAUUUUAGACACUAACAAAUUUAUUAGUAUCUAAAUUAGUUUCUAUGUUAUUGAUAAAAAAAAGUUUAUAAAUUGAUAUCUAAUUAGCUAACUAGGUUUUAGCUACCAAUUAUUUAGAAUCUACAUUUGUUUUUAAAAUAUUGGUAGUCAAUUAGAUACCGAUUUAGAAACUAUUUAUCAAUAAUAGAAACUAAUUUAGAUACCAAUAAUUUUUUUAGUCUCUAAAAUAGUAUCUAAUUUAGUCAAUAUAACACCUAAUUAUUUUGUCUCUAAAAUUGAUUUUUAUUUAAUGAUUUUUUGAUAGUGAUAACUCUCUUUUGGAGUAGACAUUUUUUUAAGCAAAUGCUGACCCAGAUAUUACAACACCUUCCAAAGCAUACAAGUCAUUCUUUCCCACAACCUUUAUGACUACCAUAGCCCCUUCAACACCCCUCUCUCACCUUUGAAUACAUAACACUUAUUUUCAAGUUCAUUAAGGAUAUAGGUUUUGUUUCAAGCUAGAUACAUACUAACAAAUUCACUACACCAUCUAGUAUACAAACGCUAGGCGAUAACAGAAAAACUGCAGGAACGAAGAAGGUUUCUUUUUUAUCGACAAUAAGCAAUUAAAUUAAACCAGCCCACUUAAGGGGUGGUCAAACCCUCAUACAGAGAAUAAAAGAUAAAAGUUCCUUUUCACCUUCGUAUCUAAAAUCCACAAAUUAAUCCUCUACUUCCUUUCUAACACUAAUAACUGAAGAAUAAAACAACGCACCAACAUUAAAUCGAGUACAUACAUACCAAGGGUUUAAGACGCCAUUAAGAGAACGAGAAACUCACUGACGGUAUCUUUGAGUUGAUCUAAGACCAAACUUUGACAUGUGCUAGAGAAAAUACUUCAAUAUGAUCUACCACUUCUCCUUUAAACAAACAAUUAUUCUUGUAUCUCUAAAUCAAGAACAAAAUAAACAAAGAAUCACACAUAGAAAUUUACGUGGUUCAACUAAAACCUAGUCUACGUCCAUGGUUAAAAUUUCACUAAAACAAAAAAAUCUAAGAUUACAACACAAAGUUUAUUUCAUAAGUCUCAUAAGUGAACUUUCAACUCUAAGUUAAAAAUAAUUGUUCAUUACAAGAUCCUAUUUAUACAAACAAAAUUGUCUAACUAAGUUCCAUUAAAAAAUACACCAAAUAAUUUACAAGUCACAUGCAUAAUAAUUUGACUAGGAAUGGAAAACUCCAACUAAUACUGAAAAUCAACCUGAAUUAGUAAAAAAUAUGCUUAAAAAGCUAUGAUUCAGAAUAAACAAUCUAAUACCUUUAGAAGCUCAAAUAAACAAUAUAAUUUCUCUAAACAUUCUUAUACCUCUAUAUGAUCUACUGACUCUAAAUGAUCUAUGAAACUUCGAACAUAGAUUUUAAUAAUAAGCAAAAUCUUCACAUGUAUAAAAAUGUGAAUUAAGCAUGUGGCUAUGUUUCCAUAACAAGUAUGUUUUGAUAGUCCUCUUACAUAGUCUCCACAAACAUCUCUUUUAUUACUUCUAUUCAAGAGCAUUCAAAUUAUUUGUUACUCAAAAUUUAACAGAAUCCAACGUUUUCUAUUUAUCGAUAUAUUUAUACUAUUUAUUAAAUCUAGUUAUAUUAAUUUUUAAAUUAUAAAUUUUUAUCAAGUUGUGGUCCUGAACAGAGUCUAGGUAGCCAUAGUCUACCACUGCAAAUUUUAUAGGAUACCAAAUUUUAUUUAUAUAUUAAAACUUAAAAUUUACAAUAAUUAUUAAUAUUAAUAUAUAUUUCCACUCAUUAAGACAAACACUAUUAACAUGUAUAAGGCCAAAAAAAUAUUUUGUAUAAUAAAAAAUUAAGAGACACAUCACACCUAUACUUCUAUUGUUAACCUUAAAUAAACCUUUAAUUUUCUGUUUUCUCCAUCUCUACAUAAGAUUAAUUUAUUUUCAAAUAAAUUUAAUUCUAGAUAUUUUAAUUGAAAACAUAAAUCUAUAAAAUUAAUUUCUUAAUAAAUUUUAAUUGUUUAAUUUUAAAAAACAUAUUAAAAUAAAAAUUAAUAACAAGGAGUGUAUAUCCACCUAGUUAACAAGAAGAUAGUCCAAAUAUUGAUGCUUACUACUUAUAGAUAUUCAUUAAAAGCAUUUAUUUUUUAUGCAUUGGCAUAAGAAAAAAAUGGAAAGAAGAAAGUGCAAUAAAUAGGGUUGAUGAGAAAUGUGAAUUAAAGAAAGAGUUGGAAUAAUUAAUAAAUUGUGAGUAUGGGAUUGCUCUAUUCUUCCUAACACCUUUGGACACUUCUCAUCCCAAAAGGUUAGUAUGAGUGAGACCCUACCCUACUAACUAAGGUAUCAUUUUUUUAGUAUGCCACUUGACCUGUUAGGGAUGCUGAGACUGGUGUUUUGUCAUUUCUUCUUUUCCAUUUUUAUAUGAAUCUGAUUGUGAAUUAACUUUCCUCUAUGACCCCGGGACAAGUUGAUGUGACAUAUACACCUCAAGAAUAUCCAAAUUAAUGAAUUUGAUAAAGAAAACCACCACAGAUAUAGAAAAGCUUCUAUUGCAUUAAGAUUUUUUUAUAAUUUUUAAAAAGUUGGAAUACUUUUACUUUAAAUGGUUUUUUAUUUAAAUUAUUCUUUUAAAUGUUUUGUUUAGAAGAAGAUUAUUUAUUACAUUUUUUCGGAUAGAGUAUUUUGAUUUUCAUUAAAUGUAAACAUUUAUUUUUAAAUUACAAUAUAUUUAUUUAACUGGCAAAAAAUAUGCAUAGGCAAUCUUUUUUUACUUAUAACAAUAAAUAAAAAAUUAGUUGACAUAACUUGAAAACUAAUUUCUCAAUAUUGAUUGAGAAAAUCAUUGAUUAAUGAAGAUGAAGAAAUUAUUGACACUUUUAUUAAUUUGUGCAAUUUUAUCUCUUAAUUACUAAAAUUGAUUAAAUUUUAAAAAAUUAUCAAAACGGGUAAGUCGUGCAACCUUGACACGAUUUUAGAUAAAAUUUGAUUAUAUUCAAGUUGUGUCAUCUUGGCACGACUUUAGUUCAAAUAUACUAAAGUAGUAUUUGUUGGACAUUUCAAGGAUUCUCACUUCAGUGUUUGAUGAAGUCAUGUUUGAAGACUUGCUGCCUUAUGUGUCUAGUUAGCUUAUGUUUUAAUUUGUUUGUCUUGAUUUAUCUUUUGUCUUUAGGAAUGAUGAAGGAUCAAAUAACAAAAUAUUUUUCAAAUAGUUAGAAAGGUUUUCAACUUGUUUUAAUUUUUUUUUUCUAGAAAGUUACAAUUUCUCAAUCUGUUAUCUUUUAAAUCAAUUGAUUGAAAAUACUGAAAUGUUUUAGAUUUUUCUGUAAUAUGUUUUAUAUACUAAAAACCAUAUUUUUAUAUGUAAGAUAAGAAUUGUUUUCAGUUUAAGUACAUUCUAUUUUAGAAAAAUUAGUUUAAUACAAACUACAAUUUUUAAGUAAAAUCAACAAAUUAUUUUGAUUUUUAACUGGUUGAUUUUACUUACUGCAUCAUUUUCUGUUUUAAAACCGUUUAUGUUAAAAACUCUAUAAAAGGGUGUGUUUGUUUUUAGAAAAAGUUUUUUUUUACUUGCACAAUUUAUACUUUUACAAUUAGUGAGAACCUAAGUGUGAGUAGAUUAUGAAAGAGUGAGUCUUUGAUAGAUCUUUGAGAGUUCUUAGUGCCUAAUCUUCAUCAUCUAGAUAGAGGUCAAAGAUUCUUCAAGUGUUGUUGUGAAUUGGAAGGUCCUGUUGCAUUUAUUGAUUCACAGUCAAGAUGUUUUCGUUCCCUUACCUAUUGUUUUGUAAUUUUGUGUUUGUUGGGGCUAAGAUAGGGUUUCUUGGUGAGAAUCAUAGUUGUGACAAAGUGUUGUAGUGAGUGAUUUGGUUCUUGUAGUGUUAAAGAACUGUUGUUGUAAAAUAAUUGUGUUGAUUUAGUGAAUUCUGUCUUAAUGUGAGGUGAGACUGUGUGUGAGUGAAAAGUAUAAAAUCUUGUUCUGGUUUAUCACUGCAUUUUAAUUUUUCUGCUCAAUAUCUUGUUCUGGUUUAAUCAAUUGAUUGUUUGUAAAAAUCAAUCUGUUGUUUUGUUCUGUACAAAUAUGUGAUAAGUGUCAAAUUUCAAUAAUAUUUCAUAUUAAAAUAUAGGUACAUAUGGGUAUUAAUUGCUAAAAUAAGUAUAAAAUAACCCCUAAUUUAUUAAAUUAUACCUUUUUACAUAUUUUGUUAUUUUAAUUUAAAUAUGAACGAUUUAUUCCCAAAUUUAUGUUAAUUUUAGGAUUCUAGGGUAGAAUGAAGAUAACUGAGCAAAAUGAGAAUAUACAAAGCUAAAAAGAGAAAGUUGGAAUGCACUAACAUCAGCUGCCCCCAAACUCACAAAAAACCAAAACGCCAUCAGUGGAUCUCGCUUAAGCGAGCUCAUUCUCGCUUGAGCGAGAUUACUCUAGUAACGUUGGACCUUUUUAUGUUUUACUCGUCCAAGCGAGUCCAUUAGCACCCAAGCGAUAAGUCACUUAAGCCCAAUAAAAUUAGGUUAAAUAAGAGGCUUGAGGCACAACCCUAGACGUGCAAGAUUGAGAGGAAAAAACCAUUGAGUGAAUUGUAACCCAAUUGAGAGAAUAAAAUAUGUUAAAAAAAUCUUAGAGGAGGUAGCCAUGAAGGAGAAAAAUUUGGAAUCUUCUUUUCUUGCUCUCCCUGCUUGUAAUGACCAUCAUGUGUGGCUGGUUCUACCCUUUGGGAUUGGGAAUAAUCUCAUCAAAAUCCUAUGUAUUGAGGUGAUAUCUAAACACAAUAUUAUGUUGUUGAUUGAUGAUGGAUAUUAUUGUUUUGUUUGUAAUGUUUAGUUUACCAUGAUCUAGAAUCUUAAAUUUGAUUGGAAAGUACUUCUAAGAUUUUGAUCUAAAUGAUAAUACUUAACAUAUUUGAAUGUUAGGAAUAGAUUUGAAAUGUUAAUUGCUAUCAACAUUUGAUCUUAAGGAUAAGUUGUUUUUAUAAAUAUACAUGAAAGCUUUUUAUUAAAAAAAAAGUUGUUUUUAUAAAUAUGUGAUGAAUCGAUAUUUACAAAGCAUCUUAAUAAUUUUAUAUGCGAGGAAUCAAUAUAAAUGUUUUUUUAUAUGGGCAUCAAUAUCAAUCAAAGGACACAAUAUUGCCAUGUUAAUCAAAAUACAAAAGAGUGAGAAAGAUGAACCCCAAUCCCUAUUUUUCCAAUUGAAGCAAUAAACUCUUUAACUUGUUUUCUUAUUAAGCAUUGUCAUCAUAACAAAUCUCAACACACUUUUAUUAUUCUGUUUUAUAUUUAGUGAUCUUUUACUUGAUUGUUCAACUGUUCCUUGUGAGUUUGAUAUCCGUUUUUACGGACAAAUUAUUACUUAUGACAAUGCGGUGCACUUGCUGUUAAAAGUCAUCAGUGCUGUUUUUUUUUCUUCUUCUAAAAUAACCAAAACAAAUGUGUUAAAAAAUAGAGUGUUACAUUGUGAAUUGAUUAUGUUUUUAUUCAUUAAAAUUUAUUACUCUUUAAACAAGUUAAUUUGAAUCAAAGAGUUUCUUAAAAAACUUUUUGAUGCAUUUUCUGCACGUCUCUUGAAAUCUACAAAAUCUCUUUUCUGUCAUUGUUAAUGAGAAAAAAAAUAUAUGUUAUUUUCAAAUAUAAUUUGUUCAAAAUAAUUCAAAAUUUUAUUUCUUAAACAGAUUCAAAUCUUUUCAAACUAUGAUUGUGAUUGACAAGAUUGUGCUUUAAGAUUUGUGUUAAAAAUUUAAUCAAUUGUUUUUUAAAUCAUGGUUUGAGUGGUUUGAAAAUGAAAAGAAAAAAACUCAACAUGAUUUUGUGGCAAAACUAUUAUUACAUCUGCUUUGGAUAUGGAUGAAUUCUUCAGGGUUUCUGAGUGCAGUUCUUCCAAGGAGAUGUGAGACAUCUUAGAGGUCACACACUAAAUAAUUGAUUAUGUGAAAAGAGCAAGAAAACAUACUCUUACUCAGGAGUAUGAACUGUUCAGGAUGAGCAAGAAGAAAUCAUAGCAUAUGUACAUAAAAGGUUCACACACAUAUUGAAUCACUUGACAAAUUGGGGCAAAGUCUUUGACAAUGAAAAGCUGAAUAUCAAAGUGCUGAAGUGCUUGGAUAAAAGCUAGCAAUCAAAGGUUACAACAAUCUUAAAAUCCAAGGAUUUGUCAAGACUAUCUACAUCAAAUUUGUUUGAAAAGUUGAGAGCACGAUGUAGAGCUGAACAAACUAAAAAAGAAAAAAACUUCUGAAAAGAAAGUGCAUAGCAUAAUUUUCAAGACCAAUACACAAAGGAAGAGUGAGAAUGAAAAUGAUUCAGAUCAGGAUGAAAUCUUAAAUCUAUUCACAAUAAAUUUAACAAAUUUCUAAAUAAAAAAAAUCGUGAAAAAAGGUAUAAGUAUUUGAUUUGAAAUGUAAAUAAUUUGAAUGUUAAUAAAUUAUACGUUAAAAUUUAAAAUGUUUUAAAAAAAUGAGGGUCAACUUAUCAAGUGUUACAUUUAAAAACGAGACAUACUUAAGUCAUUCUUUGUGCCUAAUAUCAAAGGAUUUUAAUGUUUCUUUUAGUGAAUUAAUGAAAUCAUGACUUUGCGUGGUUGUUUGAUGGGACGUUAGGCUUUUCUUGUAUGGUUAGCGAUAAUGGGUGUUAGGUAGGUGUUCUGUGUCAAUCUCUGGGUAUUGUUUUAUGUAUAAGGGUUGAACCACCUCUGAAGUGAUUCACAUUUUAUAUUUAAUUGUUAUUAUCGAUAAAAAUAAAUAAAAAUGACUUGCGCGAUUUAUUAUCCAUCCGAUCUAAUUCUAAUAAAUUACCUUUCUCUUAUUUAUUUUACUUAGUUUUAUCUCUUUCUUAUUAAAAGGUUUUAUUUGAUCUUUAAUUUUUAAAAUCAGUGGAAUGUUUCUCCUUCUGUUCAAUCUAGGUUGCCGCCUUUGGUUAAAAGUAUAUGACAGUAAAGAAUUGAUAUUUUGUAGAAAUAAAUUUAAUGAAUAAAAAAUAUUAGAUGCAUAUUUUUAUUUUACUAAAUUUCAUGCUUUUAAAUUUUUAGUUUCUUUGAUUUUUUUUUUUAAAUAACCAAAAUAUUGUUAUAUAGUGAGAUUGCAUAUUUUAAGAGGUAACAAUUGAUAAUCAAAUAUAGUCGAUGAGAUUUUUUUUAUCUUAAUAAGUGUCUUAUUUAUAUAUAUAUAUAUAUAUAUAUAUAUAUAUAAAUAUAAUANNNNNNNNNNNNNNNNNNNNNNNNNNNNNNNNNNNNNNNNNNNNNNNNNNNNNNNNNNNNNNNNNNNNNNNNNNNNNNNNNNNNNNNNNNNNNNNNNNNNNNNNNNNNNNNNNNNNNNNNNNNNNNNNNNNNNNNNNNNNNNNNNNNNNNNNNNNNNNNNNNNNNNNNNNNNNNNNNNNNNNNNNNNNNNNNNNNNNNNNNNNNNNNNNNNNNNNNNNNNNNNNNNNNNNNNNNNNNNNNNNNNNNNNNNNNNNNNNNNNCCAUAAUGAAAAAUUCAUUCUGGAUUCGCCAAUCCGUAAUUCAAAAUAUGCAUUCUAUAUUCAGAAAUCCAUAAUUGAAAAAAAUCAUAUAUUUCAAUAAAACUCUAAAAAUCAAUACUAAUUAAAGUUGUCUUUAAAUUACACCAGCUUUUAAAUAUUAUUUUUGAACUAUAUCUAUAUUAAAGUACGUUUGUUUUCAUAAACAUCUCCUUGCAUUAAAAUCAUAUAACAUUAAUACAAUUACUUUCAAAUUUCAAGUAAAGUUGUGUUAUCAAAAUACAAAUUAUCCACAUUUUUUUUUUAUGUGAUUCAACCCUUAUAAAAAAAAAUAUGAGCAGCUUAACUACAUAACAUUUUUAAAACAUCUAAAAAAUAAAACAGCUCUCGAAACAGUUCCUGACAUAACUUGACAGAAACUUCAUCCGUCAUUCCACUAAAACAAAUCAAAAUGACGAGAUACCAACAAAUUACCAACAUUAAUAAUUGUUUUUUUCCUAUUUAGUAAAAUCCAAAAUGAAUUGCACCAUUUUAUGCAAUAGCCCAAUUUAGCUGUAUAGAUAAUAUUAAUUAAAAUCAUCUGAUAAGAUUACUCUUUUUAAAAUGUUUGCAUGUAGGGGCUGGUAGCUUUCAUUAAACAUCACAAUACUGUAGUCGGAUUUCUCACUUUCAAGUUGUCUAGUUGGACCCGAUUGAUGGAAUCUUUAUUCCAAAUUUGAAUAUUAGAACUUCAAACAACUUUAUAAACAUCAAAUAAAAUACUAGAUUUGCCACCCACCCUGCAGAUUUUUUGUUUGUUAAUUGGAGCAUAAAUAAUUUCACAAAAUAAAUUAACAACAUACCUUUAUAUUUGUUUUAGUAUUAGGUAGAAUUUCGUUCUGAUUUUAUCAAAAUGACAGUGAAUAUAAUGAAGUUAAUUUGAAAAAUUUGCAUGUAAAAUUAACUUAAAUAUAAACCUCAAAAUUGUUAAUCUUAUUCCAAAAUUAGGUAAACAUAUAGAUCUUAAGAUGGUGAAGAGAUUGAAAGGAGUGACUUUCCAUCAUUCAAUGAUCUAGACAAAUGAUGCUUUACAUAAGGUGCAUUCAAUAAAGCAAGUAGUUAUUGCCACUUUUUUCUUUAAUGUUUUGUUUGAUAUCAAAAUAUAAUAAUUAAUUAGAGAUCGAGAAAUGGAAACACAUUCCACUUACAUAUUAAACCUAAUUAACAAUAAUUAGUAUUAUUUUGUUGAAUGUUUGUUGAUUUAAGUGAUAUUUAGUUUAAUUUUGUUGAAUAUAUGUUUUAUAUAUGAAAAAAAAGUUAAUUUUUUUAAUUUAGUUUCGACAUACCCAAUUCAAAUUUAGACUGGGUGAGGAUUUGAAUGGUAUGUGUCGGGUCAUAAAUUCAAUCACAGUGAAUUUAAUUGAGUCAAAGAAACACCAGGAGUCUUACCUAUAAUAUAACAGAAUCUUCACUCUCUUUGGAGUGAGUGAAGUAAAAAAAUAUUUUAAAUGUACAUAAAUUAGAUUUUAAUUUCUCAUUAUUUUUUAAUUAUAUAUACAAAACAGGAAAUAUAUGGUUAGAAUAUAUUUUUCUUUAUUUUUACUGAUGAUAAGAAAAAAGAAUUAAUAAAAGAGAAAUAAAAAGAGAUUAUAUGAGAAAGAAGAGAAGCAAAAGAUGAUCUGAUAAAGUAGGGUCCAGGGGUUCCAAAUAAUGUUGAAAUAUGAACCUACUACAAUUUAUAUAUGGGACCCUUCAUUAAACUCAAAAUCUGACCUAUGAUUAUUUUAUGUAUGUGUGGAGCACAUAUUUUAAAAUUGUUUUUUUAUCUUAUUGUUCUGUCCUUCCGUUCCUACCUUCAAUGCUCCAACUCUGGAGCAGACAUGAUCACGUGUAAAUAGUAGGAACAUGGAAAUUUUCAUUUAGAACAUGUUUGGUUUACUUGUUAGAAUCAUAUAUAUUUAAAAUAUUAUAAAAUAAAGCUAACUAUUUAUUAUUUCGACUUUGAAGUUAGAAAUAAAAUAAAAAAUGCAAAGACAUAUGCAUGUAACAUUCAUAUAUUUCAGUUCUUUAGUAUAAUGGAGAAAGAAAACAAAGAAGAGAUCAUAAAUUUUACUUAUAUAUAAUAAAAUAAAAGACACGUUAACAUAUACUAUUAUCUAAUAUUUUAUCUUAAAAUAUAUCAUUUUUUAGGGAUUUUAAUAUAUACACAAAAUAUUACAAACAAAACAUUCUGAAUAAAGACAUUUGUUUCUCUAGUUGCUCACUGAGGAGUUCUAUCACCUACAACUUCAUUUGUUCCCGUGUAAAGUAACACGAUCAUCACAGAUUAAAGAAAACAAACACAAAACAAAGCAAAGGGUAAGCUAGCUAUAUAAUUUUUUUUAUAUAAUUUCAAUUUCAAGUUAAUAAACAUAAUUCAUCAAGUUUCAUACAAUUUCUCAAAUCAUCAGGUGUCUAUUAAAAUUCAUAAUUCAUAUUUCACAUGUCAGACUUCUACUGAUUCACAACACAUAGACAUUUGACUAUACUUCCAUAAGACUCGUGCCUUGACUUAGACUCAGAGAUCUACACCUGUCAUACUAUAUCACUGUGAAAUCCAUACAGUUAUGCACAUAAAUAAUCUCAAUAUCAUCUUUCUCCUAGUAUGAUAGGGUUAACUGAUAUAACAGGUCAAGUUAGUUAUCUUUCAAAAAACAUACUCAUUCAUAUGAACCUCAUUCGACUUUCGCCACCUGAAUAAUUUCAUAUAUAUGAUUCCAUUAUCUCAGGAGAGUCAGGAUAUCUCAUUCUAGACGAAUCCUUGGUCAAUGCACAUCCUAAACAAUCUUAACAGGAUAUUUUAUUUCCUGAAAAAUACUAUGUCUUUAUUAAAAUUCAUAUUCUGAAUCUCACAAUAUCCAACAUCAAACAAUAAAAUCAUACCAAAGUUUAGAAUUUCCAAAAUACAUAACAAUUUAUUUACUAAUCAUAUAAAUAUCUAAAUUAAAGAAAUUUUCAAUUAAAUAUACAUAAAAUAAAAGUUUACAUAAUUUAUAAGUAAAACUAUACAUAAAUAAAUAAACCAACCUUUUAAAAGCAAAUAUAAAAUAAUAGUUUUUUUACAAGAUUAUCUUGAGUGAGAAUGGGUCUCGUUCAAGCGAAAAUUUCCUCGCUUGAGCAACAUUUAACCCGAGAGCACCCGAAAUUUCAUCCUAGGUCUCGCCUAAGCGAGAGUGGACUCGAGAGCACCCUAUCUUUCUAUUUUAUUCUCGCUUGAGCAAGAAUUAUCUCGCCUAAGCGAGAUAUGCACAAAAUUUAUGCAUAAACCUAUUUAAAUUCAAAACCAAUAUUUCAUUCAAUUCAUAAAUUUAUAAAUCUACACAUUACAUUGACAGUUGAUACUCAUAUAUGCUUUCCAAACCAAGCAUCACAUCUUAAUUACUUUAAUAGACUAUUCAAAUACAAUUAAACUCAUUUAUAUUACCAUUCAAACACUUUCAUUAACUUAUUCACCUUAAAAAUCACUAUAUAAUAUUCAAAAUUAUAUUACUUUAGUCUUAAAAUAGACAAUCUUGCAAGAAAAUUUGAGACUGGUGACCACGUCACCCCCUCAUCCAGAUCUUCUAGCCCAAUGUUCUAUUGGAAAUUUAAAACUAGCUUCCCUUACUUGAACUUGAACAGAUAUUCAAUAAAAGCUCCACAUCUACCAAAAUCUUAAAGGUCACUUAACCUACACCAAAGAGUCUUGAUCACAAAUCUAACUAUACCGUUAAGAUCAUGAGCUAACAGAGACUACUUUUGAAAAUAAAAGUAUCACAUGCAAGAUUAAACUAAAGGCAAACCUAACCAGAUCAAAACUAACUCAAAGGAAAAGGAGCCAAGAAUGAACUUACUCUAUCUAAUAUUUUGAUCGGACACUGCAAGAAAAUCAUGAAAUAGAAACCAAUUUGUAUAAACCAAAAUAAUUAGUUGCAAUAGUAACUAAAUUCGAGACCAUUUUAGAAACUAAAAAUAAAUUUGGUUUCUAAAUUAGUUUCUAUUAUUUUCUAUUAUUGUUAAAUAGUUUCUAAAUUGGUAUUUAAUUAGCAACCAAAGUUUUUGCUACCAAAUUUAGAAACUAAAUAAUUGGUAGUUAAAACCUUAGUUGCUAAUUAGAUACCAAUUUUAAAACUAUUUAACAAUAAUAGAAACUAAUUUAGAAACCAAUUUUUUUUUUAGUUUCUAAAAUGGUCUCUAUUUUAGUUCCUAUUGUAACUAAUUAUUUUGGUUUCUAAAAAUUGGUUUCUAUUUCAUGAUUUUCUUGUAGUGGGACAAUCUUGUAGAGUUCACUGUCAGGAGUCUAAUGGCGGAUUCUGAUUGUCAAACUGAUGAGCGAGGAGAAUCUUAGAGAGAAGGCAGGAGACGGAGAAAAGGAAAAAAGAAAUUUUUAGAAAAAUGAUGAUUCUUUCUAUUUAUAUGCUCUUUUAACUUUAAUAAUAAAAUAUCUAGAUAUCAUUUUAAUUAUACUAAUUCUGCUCUAAAAUUAUUUUUCUCGGUCCUUAUAAUAUUUAUAAAAGAAGAUAGAGCAAAUUUCUUUCCCCUCCUUAAAUGAGAUUUCUUUAAAUUUUAAGGUUUACUAUAUCUUGGAUUAUAUUCUAUUUCAUAUUUUAAUUAUAAUGUAUGAUUUUGUGGAUUAUUACCAAUAAAUUUACUUUAUCUAACACAUAUGUAAUUAUGUUGUUGUGAUAAUAUUAUUAAUGUUAUAUUUGAAAUAUUAUCAUCUUUGAAAUUCAGAAUUUUGUUAAAUUUUUAUCUUUUCAAAAAAUUAAGAAACAAAUAUAUAUUUAAAAUACUUAUCAUUUUUAUUUUUAAAUAAUGUAAAAUCAUUAAAUAAAGCAAAAAUAUAAUAAAAAAUAACGUUGUAAGAGAUGAAAUUUGUACUUAUUUAUAUAUUAUGAAAUAUUAUUAUCUUUAAUUGAUGUAGAAUCUCCAAACACAUCUCGUCACACCAAAAUUAUCAUGCAUGUGACUAUAUAUUUGUGAGUUAUUUGAUAACGAUCCGAUAGCGGGUGAUCGGAUAAGUUCAACAAACUCUCGUUAAAAUAAAUUUUAAAGGACUCUGAUACCAUACUAAGUCUAACUUAAUUUUAUAAAUUCAGGUUUAUAUUCUCUUAUAUUUCAUAUAAAAUGUACAUAUCUCUAAAGUAUGAGAUAUCCCAUACAUUUAAUCAUGAUAUAAAUAUAAAAUCAGCAAAGAGUAAACUAAAUCACAAAGCAUGUAAACCGAAUCAAAAUAUUGAUAACCAAUAAAAAAAAAUCUCAAUAUUUUUAACUCUUAUAAAGUUGAAAGUAAUUUCAGUUUCGAAACACUAUUUUUUUAAUUUUACUCCCAAAAACUUCUUCGCCCCACAGGAAACAUUGUGCACAAAGUGCAGACACAGGUUAUAAUGGGAAGCAAACAACGAGAUAGUAUAGGUCCAAUGGCAUCAGUAUUUUUAAAUGAAUAACGUUUAUAUUUGUGUCAUGAGUUGGUGAGGUUACUUCCCACAUUUACUUUUCCCUCUCUCUCAUUCAAAUAUAUAUACAUAUAUAUAUAUAUAUCACUUAUAUAUGAAGUAAUAUAAUAUUUUUUUUAUUUCUCUAUAAAGAUACAAUAUUUUUAAAAUUCAAUUUCUUUAUAAAACUUUUCGUUUUUCUUUACAAAAUUUAAUUAUCACUAUAAAAUAAAAACUAAUUUUAAAAAUAAAAAAUAAUUAAUUUUUAUAUUAAUUAAAUUAGACAUUAUUUUAUAGACUAAAAAAUUAUUGAUAUAAAAGUAUAGUAAAAGUCAAAUAAUAUGCCAAAUUCUACUAUUUAUACUAUUAAUUUGAGUAAAGUUUUCCCUUUUGAUCUUUAGUUUUAUAAGUUUUUUCUUGUGCAUCAUGUGGCUUUCUUACUUGCAUGUAUGAUUGAAGCCGAAAAAAAUGGAUUUAUACUAGUAAAAUUUUCAUUAAUAUGCUUGAUUUUUAAAUCCAAGUUUUGUGAAAGUAUGCAAAGAUUUUUCUACCUCUUCUUUUAUUCUCUAUAUGUUUGUCUUCAAGGGUAAAAUAUUUCAAAUUAGAGGUACCUAAUUUAAUAGUUAAGUUUAUUUAAGUUAAAUGAUAUGUUGAAGAUGAAAAAAGUUGGAAACUUAUAUUGGAUUGAAUCCUAGAUUAUAUAUAAAUGAAAUAUAGUGUUCAUUGAUUUUUAUGGAAAAAACAUUGUUAAAAAAUUGUAUUGGAAGGAGUUAUAUAAUGAUGAAUUUGAUUUACACAUGUGGAUGUUUUGAUGGAUAAACACGGAUUAUGUUGUAUUAAUUUGAUUUUGAAUGUAGUUCUAAUCUUCUUCUAAUUUGGUUAUUGAUGUGUUGUGAUAGUUGGACUUGUAUCAACAACUUAAUUGUUGUUGUGUGUGUUUGUUUUAUGUGGAUGUUAAUUACAAAUAAAUUUUAUUUGAAUGUUUGUCAAAAAAAUCAUAUACUUAUCUUACACGGAAUUCUUAUUUAUUUGUUGUUUUUAAAAAUAUUUAAAUAUAAAUUACAAAAUUUGUUAACGAAUAAAGUUCAUAGACUAAAAGACUAGUUAAGAAUGAUUGAGGAACUAAAAAAAUUUACAAGAGGAUAAAUAACUUUAUCCAAGAUUACAAUUAAGGAAGUAGUUCAUGAUGUUUUUUCCUUUUUAUCCCUUCUUAAUGCAAGUUAAAGAGAGAAAUGAUAAAAAUAUUAUUGCCAUAGCUCAAUAAUUUAUAGAAGGAUAAGAAAUCAAAGAAAGACUAAAUAAUUGGUAGCUUUAUUAAUUGAGUGGACAGAAUAAAUGUAGAUGAGUUUUUUCCACAUUCAAUAAUUAAAUUGGGUAAUAUAAAACAAUAGGUACACACCCCAAUUACUUUAUGGGAUUUAGAAUUCACUUGUUGUGACAAGUGAUAUUGUGUGGAAUUUGUCCUACCCAAAGUCUCAUAGUUUCUUCUCCUUGUCAUAACUUGCUAAUAACACAUGCAAUAGCUAUGUGAGAAAAUAAUUACUUACCAAGAUGCAUGAAAAGAACAGUGAUAGGAAAAAAUAAUCUAUUUUUUAAAUAUAUAGUUAAAGUUGAAAAUUUUCAAGAUAAACAUCAACAACAAAUUUUAUAAAAUUUAAUUAAAUUUAAAAUAUUUUUUUAAUAAAAUUCGUAUAUAUUUUGAGAGAUUGGACCUAGUUUUUUUUAAGGUCCACCAAAUUCUUUUCUUUCUUAUCUCUUUUGGUAAACCACAAGGUAAAUAAGACAUUUGUUUUAUGCUCCAAAUUUAUUUUAUGCUUCUUUAAUAAAUUAUUUAAUAUCAAUUAAAAUUAUGAGGUGAGAAAUUUUGUUGCGGAAUACUAAUUUAUUUGCUAUUAUUUCUAUUAGUUAGACAGUAUAAUUUAAAGAUACGAAUAUAAGUGCUAUUGUAUGUUAUUUAAGCCUAAUAUUAUUAUUUAUUUUUUAAAAUAUUUAAAAAAAUUAUAAUUUAUUUUAGACUUUACCUCUCUUCUUCCUAAAAAGAGACUAUUUUUUAAUUAUAUGAAGUUUCUUCACUAAAAUAUUACCACAUAUUUGAUCACCAUUUCACUAUUUAUCCAAUUAUAUUGAAUUUAAUGUAUUAUAUGUGAAUAGUAUAUUUACUUUCUUCGAGUUAAAUUUACAUUAUAAACACAAUAAAAAGAAAAUAAAAAAUUUAUAUAAUGUCUUAAAAGAUAAAUAGAAGAAUGAAGUUUGAGUUUAGAGGUGGGUGUUAAUCCUUCUGUGAAUUUGACUUAGGUUUUAGGUUUUAUUGUUAUUUAAACUUUUCGAUGAAUCUUUCUUUAAAAACUCAUCACUGUAUAUUAGUAUCAUGCUGGUACUUGUCUCUUUAAUGUUCUAAAUAUUAAAUUAAAUAUUUUUUAUUAAAAAAAUUCAAGAAAAAAAUAUGAUAUUUUCAAGGAUUUGAAUAUUAAAUAAACAUAUAUUUUAAGAAUUUAAUGAUAAAACAUUUGAAAUUAGAAAUUAUGUUCCACGAAAUACAAAUGUAUCAUUUGAACGAAACCAUAAAAAAAAAUAUAUAUGAUGUAAAAUGACUAAUUCGAGUAAACUUUUUAAAUAUUAAACAAGUUUAACAAUAAUUGAGAGAUAAAAAAAAAAUUGUAUAAUUUUGUGAAUAUUAAACAAGUCAAACUUAAUAGAAUAAAAAAAUAUGUGGCAAAAGAAAUAAAUAAGGGAUUUCAGAUGAAACGAAAAUAAUGAUAAGAAUAAUGAGGAUAAUUUUUUUAAAUUACUUAAUAAAAUAUAAAUAUUUUAGUAAUUUAAGAAAAAAAGAAUAUGAGAAGAUGGAGACACGACAAAUAUAUAUUUUUACACCCCUCUUUUUAUACCUAAUUUGAAAAAAAAUAAGUGUUAUAAAUAUGAAGAUUUCUCAUCAAAAUCGAAAAUAUUCACAACUACAACCUAAUUCAAACCAAAAAAAUUCAUCUACUAAUCAAUGUGCACACUAUCAAGACUUAAAUCAAAAUAAAACAACAGAAUACCCCUUAUUUAAGUAAUUCUGAAUCUCGUUAAUUUACCAAUAAUCUUAUAACUCAAUAAUUCACACAAUUAAUUAAAAAUUAAAUAUCAUGUUGACCAUAUUAAAGUAGACUCAAGAAUUUGAUUAAACUCUCCACUUACCUGAUAGUUGUUUAUUAUCUAAUCAAUAAUAAGUCCAAUAUGAGAAAGAGCUUAAUUUGCAUAAAAAUCUUCAAAAGCUUAAAGGAAACUUCGCCUCACCAAAACACAGUUGAAUUAAUAAUUGAGAUAAUAAUAACUUUCUCAUCUUAUUAAACUUGUGAAAUUCUAAAACUUGUGAACAUGUGGAAAUUGUCAGUGAUUAACGCUAAAAUGCGUGAACUGAGAGGAGGGAGGGUAGAAUAGGAAAAUUAUGGCCAACAUGAUAUAUUUUCCACACUCUAGUCAUGUCGUUUUAAAGAAAUAGUAAAUUUGACAAAAAAAAAUUCUAUAACUCAAUGUUUUCCUACUGUACCCCCACACUUAAAUCAAAAUCAAAAUUACUUUUUUUUUAAUUGACAUUUUUUUAAUAUCAUAAUGUGGGAUGUGAAGACUUCAAUAUAGAUAUAUGUUUUUAAUGAAUCUAGAAGUUAACAUUUAUGUUUUUAUGCAUUUUAGAUUCAUAACACAAAAUUUGUAUUUCGGAUUACAUAAUGUAGAAUACAAAUUUGUGUUUUGAUUGUGUAAUAAAAUAAGAAAUUUGUAUUUCAAGUUCCGCAAUUCAUAAUACAAAUUUUAUAUUAUGAUUACAUAAUGAAGAAUACAAAUUUUAUAUUUUAGAUAAGGUAAUCUUGCAUGAGUAUUUUAUAAGGUUAUUGUCCCCAAUAAAUUUGUGUAUUUUAGAUGGUUUAGCCAAUAAAUUAUUGCGUGUGAAGGAUGAGAUUUCAUGAUUGGUCUCUAGGAUUCAAGAUUGACUUUUGGCUUUUGCUUGACGAUGAGCAUGACUUUUGGCUUUUGUUUGUUUUUCUUAUUCAGAUUGGUGUCUUGAUUCUUUGGUUUGUAUGUAUUUGAUCAAGAGAUUUUGAAUUUUAAGGAUUUUUAGAAGGUUGGGAUGAAGUGUUAGUCUAUUCCUGAAUUUCUUGUUUUGAUCUUUGCUGGCCUGUAUUUUUGUUUUAGUUUUUGUCCUAGUAGGAAGUUAAUGAUAAGUGUCUAGAGGAGAUGUUGUUCUUUUCUGUAUGGUUUGUACAAGGAUUAGAUCACUCAUCAAGUGAUUUUUAUUUAUUUAUUUAUUUUAUUUUAUAUUGUUGAUAAAAAAAACUGUUUCUUCCACAUCAAAUUAUAAGAUUCAAUAGUUUGUUCUUGAAAAUAGUUGAAUGAUUUUUGUGUUGAUUUUAGAGGAAUGUUUGAUUAUAAUGAUGAAGAGAGAUUGAGAAAGUUGCAAAGAGUUGAGGAUUGAGUUAGAGAGUGAGUUGCAAGUGAGAAGAUGAAAAGGGGUAUUGUUAGGGUUUAUUUUUUUAAGGAUAAAAUAAUAAUUUCACCACCUCAUAGAAUGCAGGAUGAAACCAUAGGUGCAAGAAGAAUUUGCCAGUAAAAUCUUGUAAAAGUGUAGGUAAGCCCAGAUAUAAAAAUAUAUAAUAAUAAAUUCUAGAUACACAAUAUAUGCAUUAUUUCUCAUAUUUUUCAAUAAAAUUUAAAAUUUAAUUUUAACAUUAAACAUAAUAAUUUGUACUUUUUAAGUAAAAUAUAAAAUUUUAUUUCGAUUAUUCAGAAAUUAAAAUGUACACUAAAAGUCAUUUUAUCAUUAUAACAUUUGGAAGUUAAAUUAAUUUGAAAAUUACUGUAAAUAAAAAACAUUAGUUUGUCAAGUAAAUAGCAUCAUUUUUAUUUUUUUUCCAACAUUUGAAAUUGAUGCGUAUAUGUGGAAACUUUUUAAAUAUAUAAGCAAAUUGAAAUAUUUUAGCAACAUUUCUUUUAUUAAAAAUGUUGAUAGCAAUAAUUUUCGUUUUUAAUUCAAAUUGUGUAUUAAUUAAUUUUGAGAUAGCAAUAAUUUUCUUGUUUAAUUCAAAUUGUGUAUUAAUUAAUUUUGAAAAAUAAUUAAUAUUAUGGUGAAAUUGUUGGUAUUAAAUAAAUAAUAUCUAAUUUUAGUGGUAAAAGAUAUGUUUCAACUUAAAUUCUAAAUUUAAUUUGACAUAUUAAAAAAAUUAAUUUACUUCUAUCUUUGUAUGUAAAAAAUCCAACCUCAUUCUUAUUUUAUUGUAUAUGUAAUAUUCCUUUUUUUAACAGUUACAUUAACACACAAUCAUUCACUCAUCUCUUUAAUUUAUUGUAAGGUAAUAUUUCUUUUUUUUUUACCGUUACAUUAACACACACACCCACAUACCACACACACACAUUUACAUUUAUAUUACACACAUUUUCUAAGAAAAGGAAACAACAACAUGUGAAAUAUAAUUUAUUUUUUUUAUUUUUAAUUCAUUUAUGUUGAAAUUGUUCUAUCGCAAUAUUAUUUAGUCUUGUGUAACACAAUCAUCAUAAUUGAUAAAUAACACAAUCACAAAGUAAGGUAACUAUAGGAUUUUAAAAACUUUCGUAUAUGUAUAUAUUAAAUUUUACACACAUAUUAUAUUCACAUCUCAUCCACGUACUUUAAUUGAUACAAUUUAGAUUUAUUUAUUAAAUAUAUAUUAGAAAUCAAGUGUAUAUAUUUUAACCAACAUGCUACAUAUCAUGUUAUAACUUAUAAGCUACUAAUGUAAUGUAUCACAAACACUUGAGUGCGUCUAUCAUAUUACUUUCACUAAGUUGUCACCACAACAAAACUCUAUAAUAGGAAAUCGGUCCACUUAUAUGACAUGAUAAAUUCCUAUGAUCUACUAACAUAGUUCUUUUUCACACCACAUACUCUGUUAUAAGAACCUCUUCCAACUUUCACCACCUAAUAUUUUCCUUUAUGUGAGUCCAAAAUUAGUAGAGUCAUGAUCGUCUCCUUCAAAAUCCCAAAUUUAAUAUAACCUAAACAUCUCACCAUAGUAUUCAUUCCCUAAAAAUAACCACGUUCACCACAUACAACAUGUCAUAUCAUAAAUUUCUAUUCAUAUGUAUACAUCUAACUCAAUUUAAAUGUUACAAAAUUACAAUUAAUCUUCCAUUACAUUAUAAUAACAUUGAAAUACAAUAUAUUGACAAAUAUAAAAAUAUACUGAAAGAGAUAAACAAUAUUAACUUUUAGAAACAUUUAAAAUAUAUUUUCAAAGUUUAGAAAAUAUUAUCCUGUUAAGUCAACACUUUGCUCACAUAGCAAAUUAAACACUUGUUACAAAUUGUCCAACCAUCAUUCUAUUUGUCCAAACUCUACUCAUUCAAUAAACAAAAUAUUCACUCAAACUAAGUCACUAUAAGUUUUCAUACGAUUUUUCCAUUUAAUAUAUUUAUUUCUCCUUAGUUCAAAUGUAGUUUAGGAAAAAUUAUCUAUACUUAGUAUUAAUUACUAAAAUCUUAUUAAUUACUAAAAUCUUAUUGAGAAAGUGAUAAGAAGUCACUUUAGAAAACUAUAAAAAAAAUAUUAAAGAAAUUCAAAUAUUCUAAAAGAGAUUUUAAAAAAUAAGUAACUAAAAAGUAAAAGUUUUAAUUAUAUCUUUAUGAAUAUAACUUGAAAUUUAAUAUUUAUUAUUUAAAAGAUGAUAAAACACAUGUUCUUAGAACAUGCUUAAUAAAAACUCAUAAUUUUCUUAAGCAUAAUUAUUUUUUAAUAAAAAAAUAAUAGAUAACAUGGACUUAUGAGUCAUUGCACUCGUGGUUACUAUCAUAGUACUAAGAAAUUGCUUCAUUUUUCAUUUGAUAAAAUUCGUACUAGAUAUUUAUAGUUGUUUUAUCAUUAUUUACCAUAUUAAAAAAACAAUAUAGGCAAUUUCUAGCUCCAACUUAUUGUGCAAAAUUGUAAAUUUUAUUCUACUCUAUAAAUAAGAUUCAUUCUUCUUAAAGAUGAAACCAUAUGUUAUUUUAAGAAUAAAUAUAUUUUUGUUUUUUAUAUUAUAAUACAAAAUUGAUUUUUCUCUUCGAUUCAAAUUUUAAUAAUUUAAAUGCUUAUAAUGACAUUGGAAUAUAUCUUUUUGAAUAUGAAAUAUAUUCAAUUUGAGAUUUUGCUUCAUUAACCUAUUAAAAGUAGUCAUAGUAGAUAAUAAUAAAAAUAAUAAAAAAAUUUGAAAAAAAUUAACAAUCAUUUCACAUACAUAAUGACCAAUUUCAAUUAUUUUUACUAGCGGAAACAUAAACGCAACCGCGCCUGUGUACCCGCAUUUUCCUCUUUUACUCAAUUUUUAUGAUAAUACAAAUUUAAUAUACAUAAAUAAUUUUAGAUGGGUCAAAAUUGAAAAGUAAAAAACGGAGUGCAGAGAGUGAUUGAAAAUAAAGGUUAUUUUAUUUGAUAUAUGAGAUUUGGUGUGGAAAUGUGUGAGAGUAUGUUCUCCCUUUCUUUCUGUUGUUACGUUAAAAUAAGGAAUUAAUGGAAGAGUGUGGGAGUCAAAUAAAAACCAUAUAUUAAUAUUAAUUUAAAAAAUAAUUUUAUUUUUUAAGUAAUUCAUAUUAAAUGACANNNNNNNNNNNNNNNNNNNNNNNNNNNNNNNNNNNNNNNNNNNNNNNNNNNNNNNNNNNNNNNNNNNNNNNNNNNNNNNNNNNNNNNNNNNNNNNNNNNNAUAAAAAAAUGUCAACAUUGUAUGACAUAUUUAUUUUAAAAUUAAUUGUAAUUAUUGUAAAUAUGUAGAUCUAACUUGACUACUUUUUUCAAUUUCUAACAUUGAUAUAUAGUGUAUUAAAUAUUUGGAAAACAAUUUUUAUUUUUCACAAUAAUUUUUUUUAUUUACUCGAAAAUGCAUAUGCUUUCAUGAAUGUGUUUUUACAUUUUAUUAUCUUAAAAUAAUAUAAUUUUAAAAAUAUAUUUGAGAAUAAUAUUAAAAAUAUAAAAUAAUAUAAUUUUACAACUAUAAUAUUAAAAAUAUAUGUGAUAGUUAUAUUAACACAAUAAAUUAUUUAAUUGUUUUGGAACAGAAAAAUUAUUUAAUUACCUGCAAAUAUCUUAAAGUAAAAAACAUGGUUAAUUCAAAAAUUACCCUAUGAAUGUGUUGUAUAUAUCAUGUAGACUAAAUUAUUGCUGAGGGAUUUUUUUAUAUACACUAAUUAACAUUUCAUUUAUUUUUAAAUCUUAUCUAAUCUUUUAUAUAUUUUGAAAAUAUCAUACUGACAAUUUUUUACAUUUAAAAGUAUUAUACUUAUUCUUGAAGUUAUUGAAUGAAUAAAAAGUAGAAAAAUAGGAGUAAUUAAAGAAAAUAUAAUUUAGUCUAUGACUUAUAAGUUGAUGAUAAUUACUUUAUAUAUUAAUAAUAUUAUUAAUAUUUUUUUAUAUAAAAGUUUUCAUAUAAAACUAAUGAAUAUUAUUAAUAUAUAAAAUAAUAUAAUUUAAUUAAUAUAAUAUUAAUAAUCUUUUAUAUUAAAAUUUAUUUUUUAUUUAGUUAUUUUUUAUAAUAAUAAUUAUGAACAAACUUGUUAAACAAUUUUUAGUAAAACUAUUGAUCCGUGGAAGAAUGAGAUUGGUUGAAAGCAGAAGUGAAGAAGAAAAUGAAGUGAAAGAGAUUGAAAAAGAAAAUGAAGUGAAAGAGAUUGAAAAAGAAAAUGGUUGAAGUGAUUGAAAUGAAAGUAGAAAGAAUGUUUAUGAAUCUGGACAGGAUUGAAGCAAGUGUUCAUAUAAAUGAAUUUGGACAUGAUUUUCGUACAGGGUUUCAAUUUUCUCUCAUAUAUAAAAAAUAAUAAAGUUUGUUUGAUAAAGUAAAUAAUAAAAAAUAGCAACUUACCAACUUCUUAUAAUAAAUAAUAUUUUAAAUUAAAUAUUAUUAAAAUAUUAUUUUAUUAAAUUAUGAAGUGGAUGUUUUGACUGGAUACGUAUCAACGUAUCACUGCUCAUGUAUGAGAUGUAACUAAAUAUUUAAUUAUUAUUUAGCAGAGAAAACGAAGAAUGAGAAUAUAAAUAGGAAAAUGUUACUUUUAUGCAAACUGCUUCAAAAUACAUUGCAUAUUAUAUAUAUUUCACCAUUAAAGCAACGUAAUGUCAAUUAGAGUUGUUCUUCGAGUGUAAAUCUUUCAAGACAUUAAGUUUAUCUGUAACUAAAAAAAAACAUAGAUUUACUCAUUUUCAGUUGUUUAUUAUGCAUCUUAAUAAAAAAGAUGGUGAUAGUAGAUAUUAAGUUUAUCUGUAAUUCAAAAACUAUAAAUUUACUUGAAUUACACUUUCUAUGCCUUGAUAGAUUUACUAUAUUUACUAAAAUGUCAUAUUAAGUAUGAAAAAUAAAAAAAUAUUAUAAAAAUGAAGAAUUGAUAUGAAAGUUGUCAUCACAACUCAACAAGUCUCUUAUAGGAGAGACUUACAUAGUUGUGUGAAUCAUGAAAAUGUUUGUAAUUUUUGUAAAAAAUUGCAUGAGAAGAUUCAUAGCUUUUUUCCAUAAAAAAACUACAUAAGAAUGUUUGCAAUUUUUUUCAAAAGAAUUGUAUAAUGUUUGUAGUUUUUUUCUAAAAACUCUACAUGUUGAGCAAUAAUAAUUUUGUUAAUAUUCAUGUAGCACAUUAAAUUUAUUGUGUUUAUUAUUUAAGUUAUCACUGAAAAAAAAAUCAUGAAAUAAAAAUCAAUUUUUAGAGACCAAAAUAAUUAUUUACAAUAGUAACUAAAUUAGAAAUCAUUUUAGAAACUAAAAAACAAAUUAGUUUCUAAAUUAGUUUCCUUAAAUAGUUUCUAAAUUGGUAUCUAAUUAGCAACCAAAGUUUUUGCUACCAAAUUUAGAAACUAAAUAAUUGGUAGUUAAAACUUUGAUUACUAAUUAAAUAACAAUUUAAAAAUUAUUUAAUAAUAAUAGAAACUAAUUUAGAAACCAACUAAUUAUUUUGGUCUCUAAAAAUUAGUUUCUAUUUCAUGAUUUUUUUGUCUUGUAGUGUAUACUCUUAUUUGUGAGUGGAUUUUCGUUAGAAUAAAUUAUUUUCCUAUUGUGUGAUUUAAUACUCACAUUAGAGUCGAGGUUCUAACAAGGAAGGAAGAAGAGCGGUUAGACAUGAGAAAAAUCAACAUUGUGUAUUGCAUCUUCGGAGAGGUUAGUGAUAUAUUUGUGCAAUAACUUUGUUGAUGCAUAUAUGGUGGGAUCUACCUUUGCUCGGGGGUGGUGUUAGUCAUGAAUUCCACCUUGUGUAUUGGUGAGCAUCCAACAACAAUGACUUACGAGUCAUCGUCAAGGAGUAUCUCCAAGUCACCAAUAGCGAUAAUGGUUCAAGCAAAUUUGUUGCCAAAAUGUGAAAUGUUCAUUUCAAAGCACAAAGAAGAAGAAAAAUGGUUGAUUUUGAAGCUUUGUUGUAGAGUUACUUUCUUUAUGUGAGACUUUUGGUGAAUGGAGGAUAUGUUAACGUUAAUGAAUAUUCAUUAAAGAACCACAUUGAGUAAUGAAUAAUAUAAAUAAUAAAAAAAGUAAAAAGUUACUAUAAAAAUGAAGAGUUGAUAUAAAAUUGUCAUCAGAACUCAAUAAGUCUCUUGAAUCUCAAUAAGUCUCUUAAAUGUAUAAAGACUUGGAUAAUUGCUUGUCAUAAAACGAUUUAUAACUUUUUUUUCAAAAAAUUGCAUGAGAAGGUUUACAGUUUUUACUAGAAAAAUUGUAUGAGUGUUUACAAUUUUUACUAUGUCUUGAGAUGUGGAAACAUAUUAAAUUUAUUGUGUGUUUUUAUUUAAAUUUUAAAUUUUUAUUUGUGAGUGUAUUUUAGCUAGAAGAAAUUGUCAAUUUCUUCCAAUAGUUAAUUCCCAUCAACAUUAUCCCCAAAGAAUUCACAUAAUUCUGUGACAAAAAAAAUAGUACAAAAUGAUGCCCUAAGCUAAAAAUUAAAAAAAUAAAAUAAAUAAAUAAUCAAGUCUUCCCAGGAGAACCUAAAUUUAUUCAACUUUUUUUGCUUUUAGCAUGAAGCUCAAGAAACUAACCAUGAAUGAACCAACCAAUAAAAGUUGAUGCAUCAAUUAUAAAAACAUGUUAUGUGACAAAGGCUAGUAAUACAAUUUCAACUUUUUUCACAACUCGUCCAAAUACUAAACUCUGCUAAGUUUAGUCAUAUAUUUUUUCAAUGGCUGAUUCUCCCUGCACCCGAUCAUUUAUACUGACACCCAAUUGCAUAUAGAAAAAGACUAGACUACCCUUAAUGAAUUUGAAAAUACCUUAAGUGUGAUCUGCACCCAACCUUCUUCUUCUUCUUCUCCAUUUGUGCGUGAACCAGGCAACCAUCACAGUCAGCCACCUUCGUCUCCGUUCGUUUGCUUCAUUGCUUCACUGUCAGUGACCUUCAUCAUCGCAGGCAGAGCAGCAGCCGCCACAGUCAGCUUCGAAAGUCGGAGAAAGAACCAUCGUCGAAGAAGUCAAGGUACACUAACAUGACUUUCGAAUAUUUUUAUCCGUAGUUGAGUAUUGCCUUCCAAAUAUUUAUAUCCGUAGUUCAUUAUUGAAUUUUGGAUAUUUUUAUCUGUAGUUCAUUAUUGCCUUCUGGAUAUUUUUAUCCGUAAUGAACUUUUGACUUGCAGAUAUUUUUAUCCGAAAUUUGUUAUUCUGCGGAUAUUAAUAUCCAUAUUAGUGUUAGAUAGUUAUGACACUUGGCUUCUAUGAGAUUUUUCAUUUAUUCUUCUACAGCUAAAAGCAAAACUUCACCACAACAAUGAACUUCCUCUACCUCACCAUACACUAUUUUUCAAAAUGAAGAAGAAAAAGGCACAAUGAGAAUUUUAAAAAUUCGUCGUCGAGUGCCAGUCAUAAUUGACCAGUCAGGAAGCAAUUGCCUUUUUCAAUUUACUAUUUACAUCCAUAAGAUCCAUUUACUUAAAUGACAAGUGUGAAAUGGAAAGUGACUCAUGCAUAAAAAAUAAUCAUAUUUUAUAUUUUUUUAUUGUACUGAAAUAUAAUUUAUAUUCUGAAUAAUAUUCUGGAACACAAUUUUCUAUUUUUAAUCUCGAAAUACAUUCUAAAAUCGCAUUACAUAAUAUAUUAAUACAUUCUAGAUUAUAUAUUAUAUAUUUUGAAAUAUACAUUUUAUAUUACACAAUAUAUUAAUACAUUUUAUAUUGUAUAUUAUACAUUCAUAUUUGUAUAUUCUGAAAUGUAUAUAAAGUUUCAAAAUAAGUUUUGCACGUCCUGGAUCAUCCAAUUUGAAAUAAACCAGCAGCAUCAACAAUAAAGAAAAUAAAUUCAAAACAUAAAUCUCGUCCAACGGCGCAACGAGACAACAAGGUCGAAGAUGAUUCUUCAUAUAAACUAUUCCUACAAAGUCUCUCACAUACAAACAUAAAGAGAAUGCACCAAAUUCUAAUUGGAGGUGCAUGGCGGAAGAAGAAGAUGAAGUGGAAGGGUGAAGAAAAUUUAAGUUUAUUUUAUAAAUAUGAAGUAGGACACUUGUGUUUACCAUUAACGUUAUACAUAAAAUUACAAGAAAAGGAACUAGCUUAUAUAGAUUUUUUUUUAAAAAUAAAGAAUUUUAAAAGUUUAAAUAAUUUUUUAUUAAAUGUUAUGAACUCCAACUGUUACAUUUGCUCAUUACAUCUCAACAUUAUCAAUCCAAAAUUUCAUAUGCUUUUGACUAGUUAAAUCGAGGUGGUUAUUUUUUUCAAUUUCUAAACAUUUAAAAACAAGUUUUCCUUCAGUUAUCACUUCAAAACAGAACACCAUACCAUAACCUUCUUGACCACAAAUUUCAUACAUUUCUCAGGAAAAGUUAGAAGACAAUUGUUCGUCAUUAAAAUUAUACCGUUUCUUUAUGUUCAGUUCAGCUGUAAUUACUUUUCAAGUUUCAGAAUAUAAACUCUUCUUGAGCUUUCCAGUCACCUUGGACUACUUUCUCAUCUGUGUGAAGAGCUCAGGUGGCUUAUUGCCGCCAACUGCACCAAACCCACCAUUCCCUUGGCUGCUAAAUGGUCCAAAACCACCACCUGAACCAGCUCCAGCAAAUCCUCCAUUAGAAGAAACAGCACCAAAACCACCCCCAGGGGCAGCAGCACCAAAACCACCUCCAGGGGCAGCAGCACCAAAGCCACCCCCAGGGGCAGCAGCACCAAAACCACCACCAGGGGCAGCAGCACCGGCAAAUCCACCACCAGAAAAUGCACUACCAGUGGAUGCAACACCAGCAAAGCCUCCACCUGUUGAUGCUAUGCCAGCAAACCCUCCACCAACGGGAGUGUUUGAGAAGGCACUAGUGGAACUACUUCCCGCAAAUCCACCAAAACCACUGGGAGGGGAGAAACCACUUCCAGGUAAACCACUACCAAGCUGUCUUGAUUGUCCGAAACCACCCAGUACUGAUCCAAGAACCUGUUGCCCUAAUCCAAUUUGUGCUGGCUUCCCAAACCCACUAGGAGGGGCUUGAGCAGCUGCCACAGCAUUGAAGCCACCAGAGAAUGCACCUGAAUUUGUUGUCUGGGAUUGCGCAGAUGACUGAGGGUUUGAGAAAGUAAAAGAUGCUGGUUUAAACAACUCUCCACUAGGAACAGAGAAUGUAACUGUAGAGCUUGAUGAACUAGUCGCUACAUUAUUAAAUGAACCCCCAAAAGGAUUUGACUUAGGCAUUGAUGGGUUAGGGUUUGAGCUAAUCCCAAACCCGCCAAAGCUUCCCAAACUAAGUUCACCCGUGUUGUUACUUGUCUCGGGAGCUUCUUCCUCCAUCUCAUCCUCAUGGGAAAUUCCAACUUCCAAACCCUCAUUUUUCCCACUUGAAACACUAGCAGAGGAAAGGAAAGAAGUUGAAAACUGCAAAGGAGCAUCAGAAGGACGUGCAGCUUGAGAAACUGGGACAGCAUUGAGAUCAAAACUUGUUAUAUUGUUGGAAGAUUGAUCGAUAGGACUGCUUGUUGGUCCAAGCUUCAAUUCAGAUGCAUUAUUUAUGGGUUCAUUUGGUCUAGUGAUUACUUCUGCAGCAGCAUCUGAAUCAGUCUUUGAAUUAGACACAGCAGCUGGUUGAAUAUCUGAUUUAGGUAGAGAAGCUGGUUGAAUAUCUGAUUUAGGUAGAGAGGGUGGUUGAAUAUCUGAAUUAGGUAGAGAAGCUGGUUGAAUAUCUGAUUUAGGUACGGAAGCUGGUUGAAUCUCUGACUUAAGUGACCCUAAGGCAAACUUCAAGCCAGGUGGGUUAGGUAAGGAUGACACUGUGUCUUUAGGUCUCUGAUUAGAAAAGUGAAUAAAAGCUGAUGAAGAUGAUGACAUGGCAUUAUUUGAAUCCGUACUGGUGUUCAAACUAGUCAAGCUGUUUGAUGUCACUGACACUGCUACUGGAGGCACUGCUGCAGAUGAGACAGAUGAUGAUGGCGGAGAGGAUGAUGUCUUAGCAGUCGAAGAUAACACAGAUUUAAAUGAACCACCAAAUGUGGGGACUGCAGGAACAUUUUCCUUGGGCAAGCUUUUAUCAGCAUGGAAGUCAGUAACUUUUCCCAGGAAGGGUGACGAUGCAGAAAUAGUGGAUGACUGUGACUCAGAUGACGGGAAGACUUUUCUCCAAGACUCGGGAGUAAACGCACUAGAAGGUUUGUCUACGGUUGUGGAACUCGUAGCAAUAGUCAUUUUAUUAUUUGUAAUGGGUAUUUCACUGGAUAUAAUCUGCAUUGAAGGUGUUUCUGUGGUUGAAUAGAUAGGUAUUGGGGAUUUUUGAGCAAUUUUCCAAUGCAGGGUAGGCUUAUUUUCACUAUUUGAGACUAAAUCAAACUUUUGAACAGUUGACUUUUCAGUAGCCAAAUCUUUAGUUUCUGUGGAAUAACCACCAUGCACCAUUGUUGGUGACAAAUGGAAUGCAGACUGUGAGGGUAUGAAUAAAGUCUUACUUUUUGGCACAACACUUGAUGUAGACUCUGAAACUUGAGUGGUUGCUCGGAGGCUGUCAGCAGGUAUAAAUGCCUUUGAUUUUUCUGAGACCUCUUCAAGUUCAAGAUGAGAAUCCAGAACGCUUGCUGCAAGUAUAUUCAUGACAAAGAUAAGUGUCAGAAACUUAAGCUAUAAGCUAUCAACCAGGCCAACAAUUGAUUGCAGCUCACCUUGCAUUUUAGAAGAAGGGAAUACAAUUGAAGGAAUUCUAGCAUCUGUCUGACGAGGAGCAGAUCCCUCGAGAGUGGAAACUUUUUUUUCUUUAUUCAUUGAAUAUAAUGAUUCAUUCCUAUUAAGUUUCUGAAGUUCUUGCAGUAGCAUCCUCUUAACGGUGGUCUUAGGAGGUUCAAAACAGGUCCAACUCUGCACCAAAGUCGGUAGAGGUCACAAGUCACAAUCAUUAAUCGAAGCAAUAUAUCAGAACAACUACAUACAGGACGAUAAAGUUCCUAAUUAUACUUAUGAUAAUUUCUAGGGUCCUUACACGUUACAUUUCCCACCACUAUUUUCUGGUAGCAGUAUUUUUAUAUCACCUCUCAUAAACACUCUAGUUCACUCACUCCCUCGAUUUUAUUUAUACAAAUGUCAAAUGCUCACAUUCAAAUCACUAGACAGAUGGACUGUUUCAAAUAAAAAAUGUACGCACAAAAAUUCAAAUGUACUAGCACAAAUAUUUAGAACAUGGUUAUUAUAAUCAAGCUUGAGAUUCCAUUGGCUAAUGAUAAUCAACAGAUGCAGACAAAAAAAUAGAAAGAUAUUAUCAUAACUUUUAUUCAAGCAACCAACUAAACAGCACAAACAAAUUAGUUUGCUUAAAUAUGUGCCAUAUUGGUAUUGAUCAACUGAAUUAAUACAUAAGCAACUAACACAUUAAUACCUGGUCAAGUGAGUCUCUCCUCCUCCUUGCCGUUUCUGGUUCAUAACUCUUAGUUGCACUGGUUUGAUUUCUCCUAGAUUGAUCUUUAUUAGCUGUCAAAUCAGAAAACACAAUCUUCUUACUAGGAGGAGUCUUCAUAAAACAUUUCAUGUCUGGUGAGCCAAAAGCUGCUUCAUACGGAAUUCCUAUUGUUUCAAAUAGCUCCUUCAAAUUCUUUCUUUCCUCAGUUUGAGACCUUAAACUCAACGCUGACAUUUGUUUUGAAAGGCAAUCCGAGAGAUUUUCUGCAGCUACAAGUUGUGAACUGAUUGCGCUAUGUAAGCUAUGCAAUGACUGGACAUAUCUGCAAAGGGGAGGAAACUAAAGUUCAGUUAAACAGAAGAUUUUUACAAGGUUGAAGUUAAAUGCCUACUCAGACAGACAGGAGAGGCACAAACUAAUGUUCACUUUUGUAUUGCAUCACAGUGAAGCAAAUCAUUCAAUGUUUUAUAGUCAUACUUCCCCUUGGAAGUGUGUCUACCUAAUGGUCCAUGUGGGAUGACAGUGACUUUAGGAAAUGAUGCUUCUAAAAUCUCCUAACUAAAAAAAACACUUGUUUAGUCACUUCCAAACUUGAGUUCUUCGUUGCCUAAAGUACUUUCAUGGUAUUGAGGAGAACAGUCAAAGGAAGGCACCAUUAUCUCACAAGAUAUAUGCUUCUGAUAUUUUGAACGAAGCAGGCAUGGUUGAAUUGAAUGUCAACUUGUUGGUAGUCUUAUGGAUCCAAAUCAAAAGUUAGUGGCUGGACAAGGUGAAUCUUUCUAAGAUCCAAAAAGAUAUAGGAGACUGGAUGAGAAACUCAUUUACCUCACUAUACUACGUUUGACAUCUCUUUUGUAGUUGGAGUUUUUAGUAAAUUCAUGCAGCUUCUCACAUUGAUCAAUGGAAUGUUGUGAUUCACAUUGAUAAAGGAACCUCGAUGUGGAUUGUUAAUACCCAAGUUUCAGGAUAUUGGGAUGAGUGUAUUAAUCAAGAAGAAAAAGAUAAAGAAAGUCAUAGGAAGAUUACAUAAAGCCUGACAAGAGACAAGAACCGUCUGGCUCAUAAAAAUAAUUCUGUUUUCUUAUUUUAGUAUUUCUAGGACUCAGGUUUUAGAAUUUGUUUACUUUCUUUUAAUUGUAUUUUUAAAUUAUAAUUGAAGAUUGGGAUUGAUAAUUGGGCCUCAACUCAAUUGAGCACAUUCAAUCAAGGCCCAAGUUUAUGUGGAUUCUCGGCCAAGAUAAGCAAGGGUUGCACACAAGCUAGCAUGAGAAGCAUGUCUUCAAUUCUCAACUAUUAGAAACUGGCAAGCGAGACAAAGUGGCAAGGAAAGCAUUUGCACCAAGAGUGUCGAAAGCAUGACUCCAAGGUGUGCCCAAGAUAGGAAUAUUCCAGAAUUAUUUUUCAACUUCUGAGACUUGAAAUGGCACCAAGAUUGGGCACGCCACAUAACUAUCUAAGACACCAUCGUAUCCAUAUUUGACACUUUUGAAUGAAUGGAAAUUUCUUUGAGAAAUUUGAGAGCUUAGUUUCUCUUGGGAGUGUGAUACUCUCUUUGGAGUCUUAUCCAGAAGUGUUGAUUCUUCCUCACACUUAUCCACAUCAUCUCAAGUGGUGUGUUCUACAUUUCUCUUCUACAUCUUUUCUAUUUUCUUUGGCUAUAGUUUCAAAACUCUACUUGUUCUUAUGCUCUUGUAAAUUCACCAAUGUUUAUUCAUGUGUUCUUGAAUCUAUGAUUCAUAGCUUAAACAUGAUCUAAUUCAUGUUCAAAAGCAAAGAAGAUAUUCAAUUACAUGGUUAUGAAAUUGCAAGGAUAUUGAAAUUAAUUGAAUGAUUCUAAUGCCUCACGGUUCUUAUCAUAUUCUAAUGUUGUUUGGACAGAAUGUCCUAUGGACAUCUUGUGUCAAAGACAGAAAAUACUAUCUCUUGAAAACAUACAAAAAACAAAUGUUAUGAUCUAUUAAAACAGUGAAAAAGAAAAACAGGAUAAAACCAUUGUGUAUGUUGAACACAUAGGAUUAUGUUUAUAUAGAGAUUAAUCAUACAAAAGGUAUGGGCUAAGCCAAUUACAUUGAUAACAUUGAUAUAAGCACAUAAGGUUUGAUGAAGAAUACCAUGAGAACCCAUAAAACUCUUAAAAGAAUGAGAAACAUACUCACGCACAUUAUCAUUAUGCAACAUUUGAACAAAAAAUCCAAAUUGAUUUCAAAUUUCAUUGUAAAAGGUUUGAAGUAUAAAAAACAACUCAGAACAAUUUUUCAUUAAAAACACUCAAGUACAUCUUGAAUAAUCAUCAAUAAAAAUAAAAGAAACAUAAUACUAAAUCUUAAAUUGGACUUAACACAACUUGGUCUAAAUGUCAGAGUGAACUAAGGCAAAACGGGAUGAAGCACGUUAUGAGACACUACUAGGAAAAGAACUAUGAAUGUGUUUCUUGAUAAAUUGGAUAAACAUGGAACAUGCAGAAGGGUUGAACAAGUGAAAGUAAAUUUUGGGCAUAACAACGUACGAGACAAAGCCAGAUCCAGAACGAGGAACAAGAGGCGAUCCCAUUGAUGUUAAGCGCCAUUAUAACAGACACCUAACGCACCACCACAUGCGGUAAAAAGAAGUGCAAUGACCAACAAAUGGGAGGUGCGUGAGUGCAUGCAAACUCUGAUCGCCGCGAUCCUGGCAGCAUGGUUGCGCCCCCUGCUGUCACACUCACCAUUGUCCUCUCUAUUCUUGUGUUGUCGCGGGAGGAGAGCUCCUCUUUUGUAUUCUAAUUUUAAUUUUUUAUUUCAGCUGCGAAACUGUUCCUCUCUUUUGUUUUAGUUUUUUAUUGUGUUGGCUGAUAAUUAUAAUAGCAAGUGGAAGGAUGGAUCCUGUGUGGAAGCAUUGUGUUUCUAUUGAUGGGAAAGUAAGGAAUUGAGAAUGUAAAUACUGUGAGAAAGUAUUAAUAAAAGGGAUUUAUAUAUUGUGUUAUGUAUUAAAUAUAUAACUUUUUAUAUAGUAGUAACUCUUCCUAGUCAAGUUACAAGUUUUUAAUUCCCUUUCCGAUCCUCGAGUUUUCAAUGGCAAUGUUGCCAAUCCAAACUACGACUGUGGUGCAGCAGUGAAGGCGCCAGAGCAACUGUGGCAGCGGAAAAAAAAAAUACCAGUGAACAGUGGGUUUACCAGGAAGGUAGGGAUUUUACCCUUGUUCUAGAUACUAUAUUAAAAUAAAGGAAAAGAAAAAAUAGGAUAAAUCACUUUUUUUAUGUUGAACACAUAGGGUUAUGCUUAUAUAAAGAUUAAUCAUACAAAAAGUAUGGGCUAAGCCCAUUACAUUGGCAGUUAUAACUUAUAUCUAACAUCAUCCAAUCUAGCGCAAAGUUUAAUAUAGGAUCAUGGCAUCAAACAUCACUUUACACUACCUGUAAUCCAAUGUUCCAUGAAAGAAACAGAUAUACAGAGAUUGAAUGUGGUGUUUAAGAAAAAUUAAAGGCCAAAGAAUUAGUGUUGAAGCUAUCAGCUCCAAUACCCAGCCCCCAAAAUAUUUGAACUAAGUCUUUGAGAGGAUCUCAUUAAAUUUGUGUUCCAAACUUGAUGUUCCUUACAUAUGGAUUAAUGAAAGUAUAGAACGAAGAAGCCAGCAAGACAAAUCAAUUAAACAGUAAAAGAAAUCCUCAACUCAUCAGACCACUCCAUACUCAGAAUAACCCACCACUGCCAAUACCGAAAAUCCCCUCCCCAAAAAAAAAACUCUCACUCCAUUACCCACACAAAUAUAAUAAUUCCCUCUCUCUAGCACUGAUUCCAGCAUCUCCUUCCUCUAAUUCAUGUGUGCAACCUGUUCCUUCUCAUAUGCCCUCUCUAUCUAUUCCCUUUCUACUUGCCUCCUGUUCUUUUCCUCCAGUCAUUUACCUAAAGGCCAUGUAGGCUUCCAGCCCAUUGUUAGUUUACGAGUCACCCUC